CGGAACGUGCCCGAUCGUGGGGGAUAACGCAGCGAAAGCUGUGCUAAUACCGCAUACGAUCUACGGAUGAAAGCAGGGGAUCGCAAGACCUUGCGCGGACGGAGCGGCCGAUGGCAGAUUAGGUAGUUGGUGGGGUAAAGGCUCACCAAGCCGACGAUCUGUAGCUGGUCUGAGAGGACGACCAGCCACACUGGGACUGAGACACGGCCCAGACUCCUACGGGAGGCAGCAGUGGGGAAUUUUGGACAAUGGGCGCAAGCCUGAUCCAGCCAUGCCGCGUGCAGGAUGAAGGCCUUCGGGUUGUAAACUGCUUUUGUACGGAACGAAACGGCCUUUUCUAAUAAAGAGGGCUAAUGACGGUACCGUAAGAAUAAGCACCGGCUAACUACGUGCCAGCAGCCGCGGUAAUACGUAGGGCGCAAGCGUUAAUCGGAAUUACUGGGCGUAAAGCGUGCGCAGGCGGUGAUGUAAGACAGAUGUGAAAUCCCCGGGCUCAACCUGGGAACUGCAUUUGUGACUGCAUCGCUGGAGUGCGGCAGAGGGGGAUGGAAUUCCGCGU
rnacentral:rRNA from 1 species